CAGCAAGUAUGCGGCCUCUGAUAGAAACAUUACCAGUAAAUGGGCACUUCUUAUCAAUAUAAGUCCCUUCAAUUGCCUCUCUGGGUGUCUUAAAGCCCAAUCCAAUGCUCUUCCAAAACCGAUUGCCUCCCUUUCCAGGCUCUUUCCUUUCCCCGACUUCUUCGAGCUCAAGAAUACCUUAGGCUGCUUCAGAAAUGCCUUCUCUGUCUGCUCGGCCAUGGCUAGCGAUAGCGGAAAUUCGCCGAGC
rnacentral:misc_RNA from 1 species